GGCUCACUGGCUCGAUACUGACGCUGAGGUGCGAAAGUGUGGGGAGCAAACAGGAUUAGAUACCCUGGUAGUCCACACCGUAAACGAUGAAUGCCAGUCGUCGGGUAGCAUGCUAUUCGGUGACACACCUAACGGAUUAAGCAUUCCGCCUGGGGAGUACGGUCGCAAGAUUAAAACUCAAAGAAAUUGACGGGGGCCCGCACAAGCGGUGGAGCAUGUGGUUUAAUUCGAAGCAACGCGCAGAACCUUACCAACCCUUGACAUCCUAGGACCGUUCCAGAGAUGGAUCUUUCACUUCGGUGACCUAGUGACAGGUGCUGCAUGGCCGUCGUCAGCUCGUGUCGUGAGAUGUUCGGUUAAGUCCGGCAACGAGCGCAACCCACAUCCUUAGUUGCCAGCAGUUCGGCUGGGCACUCUAGGGAAACUGCCCGUGAUAAGCGGGAGGAAGGUGUGGAUGACGUCAAGUCCUCAUGGCCCUUACGGGUUGGGCUACACACGUGCUACAAUGGCAGUGACAAUGGGUUAAUCCCAAAAAACUGUCUCAGUUCGGAUUGGGGUCUGCAACUCGACCCCAUGAAGUCGGAAUCGCUAGUAAUCGCGUAACAGCAUGACGCGGUGAAUACGUUCCCGGGCCUUGUACACUCCGCCC
rnacentral:rRNA from 1 species